CCCCUAGAAUCCUGAAGCAGCAAAUAAUGAUUAGUAUCUUUAAUGUAGCAUGCAAAUCAUGAUGUGCUGCUACAGAUUUUUAGGGC